CACAGCCUGCCUGGAAGCCAGGGUUUGUGUCGUAGGGACCCCCCACCCCCCUUCCCCCACACACACCCCUAGCCGAGUUAGAACUGUCCUCUGGGUGAUCUCAGUUUGAUCCUUUCUACUCUGAGGCAGGCUGGGCCCACAUGGCCCCGCCCCAUCCUUGCUGGCUCCAGUUCUAGUCAAGUCGGAGCUGCAGUAGCUUGUGUUCCCGGCCACCCUCAUCAGUUAGGAAGUCUGCACUGUGGGCUGGGGCAGCCACAGCCUCUUCUACCUGGCAUCCACUGCCUGAAGCCCCUAGGCACGUGCUUCGGGGCCCUGAAGCCUCUUAAAGCCACCAGCAAGGCUUAGAAGACUGUGUCCUGGCCUGUGAACAGGGGAUUCAAGCAUGAGUCGCUGCAGUUUGAGGAACCCUGAUCUCUGCCAGACUGCUCAAAGCUCUGACCAGGAGAAGAUGGAGGCUCAGGGGAGGUUGAGAGGCC
rnacentral:lncRNA from 1 species